GUGGGUAUGGCGAAAUUGGUAUACGCAUGGGACUUAAAACCCCUGGUCUUUUGACAUACAGGUUCAACUCCUGUUACCCAUA
rnacentral:tRNA from 1 species